rnacentral:sRNA from 1 species
AAAUACGAUUUCAUUGCAUGUCCUAACGGAUACCAUUAUACCAGUACUAAUGCACCGGAUCCCAUCAGAACUCCGCAGUUAACAUGCUUGGGCGUGAGUAGUACUAGGAUAAGUGACCUCCCAGAAAGUCCUCAUGUCGCAUCCUUUUCUUUUCUUUUUUUUGGUUAAAACUUUAACUUUUAAACUAUGCGCCCAAACUUAGCAUGUAAUAGCUUUUCAGAAAGCCCAAUGAGAUCCCUCCGACGAAAGAAGCAAGACAAUGGUAACUACUAUUGUUUUUUUU